rnacentral:rRNA from 1 species
CUUACAUUCUGUGGCGAGGUUAACCGGAUAGGGAAGCCGAAGCGAAAGCGAGUUCGAAUAGAGCGAAAAGUCGCAGGGUGUAGACCCGAAACCAGAUGAGCUAUCCAUGGCCAGGUUGAAGGUGUGGUAACACACACUGGAGGACCGAACCGACUAGUGUUGCAAAAUUAGCGGAUGAGCUGUGGAUAGGGGUGAAAGGCCAAACAAAUCUGGAGAUAGCUGGUUCUCCCCGAAAACUAUUGAGGUAGUGCCUCGUGUUGAGGCUCCAGGGGGUAGAGCACUGUUUUGGCUAGGGGGACAUGUAGUCUUACCAAACCAAGGCAAACUCCGAAUACCUGGAAGCUAUACACGGGAGACAGAGCACCGGGUGCUAACGUCCGGACUCAAAAGGGAAACAACCCAGACCGCCGGCUAAGGUCCCCAAUAGCAGCUAAGUGGAAAACGAAGUGGAAAGGCCGUGACAACCAGGAAGUUGGCUUAGAAGCAGCCAUCCUUCAAAGAAAGCGUAAUAGCUCACUGGUCGAGUCUUUCUGCGCGGAAGAUGUAACGGGGCUAAGCUGCUAACCGAAGCCGCGGAUGCAUGGAAAAAUCCAUGCGUGGUAGGGGAGCGUUCUGUAAGUCUGAGAAGGCGGAUUGAGAAGUCUGCUGGAGAUAUCAGAAGUGCGAAUGCUGACAUGAGUAACGUUAAAGAGGGUGAAAAGCCCUCUCGCCGCAAGCCCAAGGUUUCCUGCUCUACGUUCAUCGGAGCAGGGUGAGUCGGCCCCUAAGGUCAGGCCGAAAGGCGUAGCCGAUGGGAACCGGGUUAAUAUUCCCGGACCGCUGUCAGAUGCGAAGGGGUGACGGAGAGGCUAAGGUCAUCCGAGUGUUGGACUACUCGGUACUUAGACGAGGACGGUUGGCAGGCAAAUCCGCCAACGGAUCGUCCGGAUCGGAAGUGGUGCUCCCACGGGAGCGAAGUGAUUGGAAACUCUUCCAGGAAAAACCUCUAAGCUACAGUCUGACAGGACCGUACCGUAAACCGACACUGGUGGGCGAGCUGAAUAUGCUCAGGCGCUUGAGAGAACUCGGGAGAAGGAACUCGGCAAAUUGACACCGUAACUUCGGAAGAAGGUGUGCCGCAGUAGCGUGAGAGGAGAAACACCUUGAGCGUGAGACGGUCUCAGAGAAUAGGUGGCUGCGACUGUUUAUUAAAAACACAGCACUCUGCAAAGUCGAAAGACGACGUAUAGGGUGUGAUGCCUGCCCGGUGCUGGAAGAUUAAUUGAUGGGCUGAGAGGCCUUGAUCGAAGUCCCAGUAAACGGCGGCCGUAACUAUAACGGUCCUAAGGUAGCGAAAUUCCUUGUCGGGUAAGUUCCGACCUGCACGAAUGGCAUAACGAUGGCCACACUGUCUCCUCCCGAGACUCAGUGAAGUUGAAGUGUUUGUGAUGAUGCAAUCUACCCGCGGCUAGACGGGAAGACCCCAUGAACCUUUACUGCAGCUUUGCAUUGAACUGUGAACCGAUUUGUGUAGGAUAGGUGGGAGACAGAGAAGGAGGAGCGCCAGCUCCUCUGGAGUCAACCUUGAAAUACCACCCUGAUUUGUUUGCGGUUCUAACCAAGACAGGAGCACACUGUUUGGGACCGUGCAUGGUAGGCAGUUUGACUGGGGCGGUCUCCUCCUAAAGGGUAACGGAGGAGUACGAAGGUACGCUAGGUACGGUCGGAAAUCGUGCUGAUAGUGCAAUGGCAAAAGCGUGCUUGACUGCGAGAGCCACAACUCGAGCAGAUGCGAAAGCAGGUCAUAGUGAUCCGGUGGCACUGAAUGGAAGGGCCAUCGCUCAACGGAUAAAAGGUACUCUGGGGAUAACAGGCUGAUACCGCCCAAGAGUUCAUAUCGACGGCGGUGUUUGGCACCUCGAUGUCGGCUCAUCUCAUCCUGGGGCUGAAGUCGGUCCCAAGGGUAUGGCUGUUCGCCAUUUAAAGAGGUACGUGAGCUGGGUUUAAAACGUCGUGAGACAGUUUGGUCCCUAUCUGCCGUGGGCGUUGGAAGAUUGACGGGGGCUGCUCCUAGUACGAGAGGACCGGAGUGGACGCACCUCUGGUGUACCGGUUGUCACGCCAGUGGCAUAGCCGGGUAGCUAAGUGCGGAAGAGAUAACCGCUGAAAGCAUCUAAGCGGGAAACUUGCCUGAAGAU